rnacentral:rRNA from 1 species
AUGAGCGCUCACUGGCUGCAUCCACAUCGGACAAGCUAAGGACAAAAAAGAAAACAGUCGAAGGAAAAAAAAGAGCGAAGGGUCUCAGCCUCAGGCCCAAAGCCCCCGACCCUCAUCCCUCGAUUCCUCUCCCUCUCCCUCGUCUGCAGCCGCCGCCGCCGCCACCAGCGUCCUCCCCUGCAGCUGGCGCCCCCCAACCCUUCUCUCCUUCCCUCACCUGCGCCCUCGUCCACCUGGGCCUUGUGGUCGGCCAUGGAGGUCUGAUCUGACCCAUGGAUGGAUGGGGGCGAAACCCUAGCCCCACACCCACCCAUGGAUGGAUGGGGAUGGGGCGACGGCGGCGGCGGCCUUCUCUUGGUGCUUACUGAUGUGGUGGUCCUCGAUGCCGGCGACGGGUUGCAGCACGUAGACGCCAAAGGUUGCGGGUGUGACGGAGGAGCACCAUGGCGGGCGUGCAGGCCAUCUUUCCCUACCAAGUUAUCACUGCUACCCCACUGUAGUCCCUGGCAAGUACAUGUUGCUACCAAGGAAAAUAUGCUUUCUCAUCAAUUUUGCAGCAUGCAUUAGAAAGUUCAAAGUUUAUAUCCUUGAAUAAAUUUCUUCAUGAAGGUGCAUCAGGAUGACCAUCCACCAUUGUUUCUUCGAAAGCACGCGGCAGAGGCACCCACACCUGCGGUUCAGCAAGAUCUACAUCUCCAACGACUACACCAAGGACUGGGGCAUAUACGCCAUAUGUGCCUGUGUUGAAGCUCAGUUAACUCAUAUAGGUGUACUGUUUCAUAUGCUGGCAACCCACACGCUUUGAAACAAUCAAUUUCUAAUGAAUCAAUACCUGCAUUUGCAAAUUGUAUCCCAGUGUAACAUAUAGGAAGGAGGACAGAAGACGACUAUUUUCAAUUACAUGCCGGAGAAGGCUGCCGACAGAGAAGAGACGACAGCAGGAGCAGAGCCUCUCUCCUGCAAGGCCUUAGGUUGAAGUUGCCAAGAUGCUACUAAAUAAGGGCAGGGGCACUUGUUUGAAUACUGGUCAGAACCCGGUGUUGAUGACGACAAAAAGAAAAGCUUCUUUGACAAGGUUUGCCGACUUAAUUCAAGCUAUCCUGUUGGACUGACAUCAUACCAAAAGGCUUUUGGCAGAUUCCAAGUCUAGACAAAAUCCAUACGAUGGUUUCACGCCUUCGGUUCUCUCGGGGGAAGUAUUGUCCUUCGGUGAUGACAAUUUUGUUUAAGCACACAAUGUUGCAUUUAUUCUUGUAGCUAGUGGGCUUGGCGAAAGACUUGGUUACAAAGGAAUUAAGGUUAUCAUUGGAAAGUCUAAAAGUUGCACAGGAAGAUCUCGGCAAAUACUUUAAGCCCCAAAGUAACAAAGGUGAGGACAUAAACUGGUGGUAGUGGUACUGGCCUACCUUUCCUUCAGGGAAUGACCAGCGGACCUGAAAGAUGGUAUCGACAGUUUGAUAAUUGUAGCCCCAAUGGUGCUCUGAGCUCUUUGAACUCAGUCAAUGUGGGACCCUUUUGACAGGAAGUAUGGGAAAUAUUUCGUUGUUGCUGCAGUUAACCUAUGCUAAAAUGCUGGUGUUAAUAACCAUGUGUGGGGCUUCCUUGGCCAACAACAGCUUGAGGUGGCAUGGGAAUGGAUCCUGUCAUCAUCCUUGGUGGACUCCCAAUAAAACCAGGAAUGACAAGGGAUGAUCUGUUCAACAAAAAUGCUAGGAUUGUUUGCUCAAUCUGUGAAGGCGUUGCCAAGAGUGUCCUAAUGCAAUUGUGAGUUUGAUCAGCAACCCUGUGAACUCAACCAUCCCCAUUGCUGCGCAGGUUUUCAAGAGAGCUGGAACUUAUUAUCCCAAGCGUCUCCUUGGAGUGACAACAUUUGAUGUGGCGAGGCCUAACACUUUUAUAUUACUUUUGGGACUAACCUAUUAACCGGAGGCCCAACCCAGAUUUGCUGUUUUAUGCCUAUUUCGGUGUUUUGAAGAAAAGGAAUAUCAGACGGAGUCGAAACGGAACGAAAUCAACUAGAGAAGUUAUUUUUGGAACGAAAGCCACCCGAUGGACUUGGACCCCACGUUAGGGAAGGAAGGAGGAGCUCACGAGGGUAGGGGGUGUGCCCCCUGCCUCGUGGGGCCCUCGUGGCUCCCCUGACGUGCUUCUUCUGCCUAUAUAACUCCACGUAACCUAAAACUUUCAAAACAGAGAAUAGAUCGGGAGUUCCGCCGCCAGAAGCCUCCGUAGCCACCGAAAACCAAUCUAGACCCGUUCCGGCACCCUGCCGGAGAGGGGAAUUCUUCUCCGGUGGCCAUCUUCAUCAUCUCGGUGCUCUCCAUGACGAGGAGGGAGUAGUUCUCCCUCGGGGCUGAGGGUAUGUACCAGUAGCUAUGUGCUUUGCUAUUAUAUUUGGAUCCUAUGAUGUUUCUUCCCCCCUCUACUCUCUUGUAAUGAAUUGAGUUUCCCAUUUGAAGUAAUCUUAUCGGAUUGAGUCUUUAAAGAUUUGAGAACACUUGAUGUAUGUCUUGCCGUGGAUAUCUGUGGU